rnacentral:rRNA from 1 species
UACGUAGGGUGCGAGCGUUGUCCGGAAUUACUGGGCGUAAAGAGCUCGUAGGUGGUUUGUCGCGUUGUUCGUGAAAACCUGAGGCUUAACCUUGGGCGUGCGGGCGAUACGGGCAGACUGGAGUACUGCAGGGGAGACUGGAAUUCCUGGUGUAGCGGUGGAAUGCGCAGAUAUCUGGAGGAACACCGGUGGCGAAGGCGGCAUUCUGGACCGAUAUUGACGCUGAGGAGCGAAAGCCAGGGGAGCAAACGGG